rnacentral:lncRNA from 1 species
UUCGAUUAGCUCUAUCAGAUGGCAUCUAUUUCUUCCCAACUCUUGACGUAGCGGACCGCAAGUUAAUUUACCCGCGCAUCAAGCAUGUUAUGGCAGAUAUAGAUUAUGCGAAUUUCUUAACGGCACAGAAGCGCCUCAAAGGCAUCAACGUGGCCGCGGUAGCAAGCUUUGGUGUCCACAAGAACAUGCACAUUGAAUCUACAACUAAAAUAUACAAGUACCUGGAGGUCUUAGGCAGUAAGUUUAAUUUUGGCGUCAGCCAGGUCCGGCACGACCCGCGUCUCUUUCAUCACGCUGAGCUGACACGGGCGAAUGGCACUGGGAUACGGGUGUACAUAUGCAGGGCCCACGACACCCACCACACGAAUUUUUUACAGUUUUCUGUGAAGACACAAACAAGGACAUCACUACCACCCAGCUGUUGUCGGCGCUGCGCACCUGUACAUUGUGGACAUCCCGGACAAUGUGGCUGACACGAUGCCAGAAGUAAAAAGUAUCGGCAGUGACUUGGCUGCCCUUAUAACUACCAAUGACAUGGUUUCCCUGGGAGCAAGCAUGACGGCUGGGCGCAAGGGCACAGGCAGAUACUACAUCGACAGCACAUCUCUGCACACUGAUGGUAUUGUCUUGGGUCCACGUGGAGCCAAACGCUUGGCAACCUCCUGCAUCAAAAGUUGGCGAGAGUCAAAUCUGGACGUCAUCUGGUCACUCAUAGAGCCUCUGUUUCAAGCUGGUCCAGGCCCCUCUGGGGCAGGGCCGUCUGGGGCAGGUCAAGCUGGUGCCCAGCCAGAUGAGGAGGGUGGGCUCGAGGAGG